CCUACGGGAGGCAGCAGUGAGGAAUAUUGGUCAAUGGACGAGAGUCUGAACCAGCCAAGUAGCGUGAAGGAUGACUGCCCUAUGGGUUGUAAACUUCUUUUAUAUGGGAGUAAAAUGUUCCACGUGUGUGGUUUUGUAUAUGCCAUAUUAAUAAGGAUCGGCUAACUCCGUGCCAGCAGCCGCGGUAAUACGGAGGGUCCGAGCGUUAUCCGGAUUUAUUGGGUUUAAAGGGAGCGUAGGUGGAUUGUUAAGUCAGUUGUGAAAGUCUGCGGCUCAACCGUGAAAUUGCAGUUGAAACUGGCAGUCUUGAGUACAGGAGAGGUGGGCGGAAUUCGUGGUGUAGCGGUGAAAUGCUUAGAUAUCACGAAGAACUCCGAUUGCGAAGGCAGCUCACUGGACUGCAACUGACACUGAGGCGCGAAAGUGUGGGUAUCAAACAGGAUUAGAUACCCGAGUAGUC
rnacentral:rRNA from 1 species